rnacentral:rRNA from 1 species
ACGAACGCUGGCGGCGUGCCUAAUACAUGCCAGUAGAACGCUGAAGGAGGAGCUUGCUUCUCCGGAUGAGUUGCGAACGGGUGAGUAACGCGUAGGUAACCUGCCUGGUAGCGGGGGAUAACUAUUGGAAACGAUAGCUAAUACCGCAUAACAGUAGAUGUUGCAUGACAUUUGCUUAAAAGGUGCAAUUGCAUCACUACCAGAUGGACCUGCGUUGUAUUAGCUAGUUGGUGAGGUAACGGCUCACCAAGGCGACGAUACAUAGCCGACCUGAGAGGGUGAUCGGCCACACUGGGACUGAGACACGGCCCAGACUCCUACGGGAGGCAGCAGUAGGGAAUCUUCGGCAAUGGACGGAAGUCUGACCGAGCAACGCCGCGUGAGUGAAGAAGGGUUUCGGAUCGUAAAGCUCUGUUGUAAGAGAAGAACGAGUGUGAGAGUGGAAAGUUCACACUGUGACGGUAUCUUACCAGAAAGGGACGGCUAACUACGUG